rnacentral:rRNA from 1 species
AGAGUUUGAUCAUGGCUCAGGACGAACGCUGGCGGCGUGCCUAAUACAUGCAAGUCGAACGGUCUUUUCUAUGGAAGCUUGCUUCCACUGAGGAGAUAGUGGCGAACGGGUGAGUAACACGUGGGUAACCUGCCCAUAAGAGGGGGAUAACAUCCGGAAACGGGUGCUAAUACCGCAUAGUUUUCUUGAUCGCAUGAUUGAGAAAGGAAAGACGGCCUUUGUGCUGUCGCUUAUGGAUGGACCCGCGGCGUAUUAGUUAGUUGGUGAGGUAACGGCUCACCAAGACGAUGAUACGUAGCCGACCUGAGAGGGUGAUCGGCCACAUUGGGACUGAGACACGGCCCAAACUCCUACGGGAGGCAGCAGUUGGGAAUCUUCCGCAAUGGACGAAAGUCUGACGGAGCAACGCCGCGUGAGUGAAGAAGGUUUUCGGACCGUAAAACUCUGUUGUCAGAGAAGAACAAGUUGGAGAGUAACUGCUCCAGCCUUGACGGUAUCUGACCAGAAAGCCACGGCUAACUACGUGCCAGCAGCCGCGGUAAUACGUAGGUGGCAAGCGUUGUCCGGAUUUAUUGGGCGUAAAGCGAGCGCAGGCGGUUCCUUAAGUCUGAUGUGAAAGCCCACGGCUCAACCGUGGAAGGUCAUUGGAAACUGGGGAACUUGAGUGCAGAAGAGGAGAGUGGAAUUCCAUGUGUAGCGGUGAAAUGCGUAGAUAUAUGGAGGAACACCAGUGGCGAAGGCGACUCUCUGGUCUGUAACUGACGCUGAGGCUCGAAAGCGUGGGGAGCAAACAGGAUUAGAUACCCUGGUAGUCC